rnacentral:lncRNA from 1 species
CUCUCAGGAACUGUGUGCAAGGUGUUAUUUUCCCAUUGUUGAACUAUUUUUAGAUUGUUUUAAAUGCAGUUAAUCAGUUAAUGCAGAUAGAAGAGUUGUUUUCCACAAUUUUGGUGUGAAGUUAACUGGUGGCUGGCUGUAACUUCAUAUUCAGCUAACACACACGAGAACAGUAUUCUAAUUAGCCCCUUGGCAUAUGUACCAAAAAUGUGGAAAUAUUGCUUCAAACAUUUUGAUCAGAAGGAUGCAAGGAGGCAGAGAGACAUAUGUGUAAAAUGUCAUAAAACCUGUUUGAACUAGAUCAAUAAGAACUUGAUUGUUAAUUAUUUAAAACCUGCAGAUUUGGGGUUAUUUAAACAAAUAAUACGAGAAAAACAACAGACUUAAAUGCCUCCCUUAAAUGUUAUCUAUCUAAUCCUUUAGACAGUAUGACAUUAGGUGAGCCUUGUUGAGAUCUACCUAGGUUGGGCAGGACAGUAAGGGGAAUUCUGUUGUUAAUAUCCGUUUCUCUUUCUUCCAGUUUCUGACAACUGUGAGACCUACAGCAUGUCCUGCCUGUGGACAGGUUUGAGUCUGCUCUUUGUAGCAAAUGUUCUUCAAAUGAGUGCAUCAUUCACCAAAGUAGUGUCAGUGAAGUGCAACCAGACAGUGGAUAUUGUAGCCGGAGAAGCUGUGACACUGAACUGCACUAUAAUGAUGAAAGAGAACUGUAGAGGUGAAUCGUACGACUGGAAUAACACACAUGGCAAAAUACCGUGUGACAACAGUGACUUGAUGGAAUACGGCUGUGAUUGGGAUAAUCAGAGUUAUGUGUCACUGACCAUACGGAAUGUCAUGAAGGACAACAAUUACACCAUUUUAAUACGGACAGACUGUGGUCUAGAUAACUCACAUAUCAAACUACAAGUUAAACAGAACUCCAACAGCACCCAUGGUAAAAUUAGGUCGGCAUCGGACACUGAGCAGACCACUGAGCAGACCACCAACCAUCAAGUGACAGUAUUCAUAUUGACUAUUUUCAUCGCCCUUUUUGGCAUUUUGUAUUUCCUGUUUGGAACUAGCAGAGGCAGAGAAAUAACUGGAUGUUUCAAAAGGACAGAAGAAGGAGAGGAGAACCCAGUGAUCGAGGACAACACUUGUCUGAAAAAGUGUGAAAUCUGUGUUUAGAUAUUUGUGUGUGAGGAUGUCCUGAGGUUUCUUCCAUUUUUUACCAUUGGAACAGGGGAUUAUUCUUUUUUUUUUUCAUAAGAGUUUUCCAUUAAUCAAAUCUCCAUUUUUACCUCUUAUUCCUCUCCAGAGCUGGUUGUGUGGCUUCCUGCCUCUGAAAUGUCAAUACUGUCUUGUUACAUUUUCCACUGUUCUUUGUUGUUUUUGUACAGAAUGAUCCAUGUGUGAUGGUUUAAACUGAUUAAAGAUGGCUGCUCGGUUUGUAAAAACAGUGUUGUAACGUCUUCAU